rnacentral:rRNA from 1 species
AUUGAACGCUGGCGGCAUGCCUUACACAUGCAAGUCGAACGGCAGCACGGGAGCAAUCCUGGUGGCGAGUGGCGAACGGGUGAGUAAUAUAUCGGAACGUGCCCAGUCGUGGGGGAUAACGCAGCGAAAGCUGUGCUAAUACCGCAUACGAUCUAAGGAUGAAAGCGGGGGAUCGCAAGACCUCGCGCGAUUGGAGCGGCCGAUAUCAGAUUAGCUAGUUGGUGGGGUAAAGGCCCACCAAGGCGACGAUCUGUAGCUGGUCUGAGAGGACGAACAGCCACACUGGAACUGAGACACGGUCCAGACUCCUACGGGAGGCAGCAGUGGGGAAUUUUGGACAAUGGGCGCAAGCCUGAUCCAGCAAUGCCGCGUGCAGGAUGAAGGCCUUCGGGUUGUAAACUGCUUUUGUACGGAACGAAACGGCCCUUUCUAAUACAAGGGGCUAAUGACGGUACCGCAAGAAUAAGCACCGGCUAACUACGUGCCAGCCGCCGCAGUAACAC